AUUGAACGCUGGCGGCAGGCUUAACACAUGCAAGUCGAGCGGAGCGAGGGUGCUUGCACCUUAGCUUAGCGGCGGACGGGUGAGUAAUGCUUAGGAAUCUGCCUAUUAGUGGGGGACAACAUUCCGAAAGGAAUGCUAAUACCGCAUACGUCCUACGGGGGAAAGCAGGGGAUCUUCGGACCUCGCGCUAAAAGAUGAGCCUAAGUCGGAUUAGCUAGUUGGUGAGGUAAAGGCCUACCAAGGCGACGAUCUGUAGCGGGUUUGAGAGGAUGAUCCGCCACACUGGGACUGAGACACGGACCAGACUCCUACGGGAGGCAGCAGUGGGGAAUAUUGGACAAUGGGCGGAAGCCUGAUCCAGCCAUGCCGCGUGUGUGAAGAAGGCCUUUUGGUUGUAAAGCACUUUAAGCGAGGAGGAGGCUACUAGUAUUAAUACUACUGGAUAGUGGACGUUACUCGCAGAAUAAGCACCGGCUAACUCUGUGCCAGCCGCCGCUGUAAUAC
rnacentral:rRNA from 1 species